UCCCUUGCUUAUCAGCCUGUAUACCUCCGUCGCAAGCUUACCAUAUGAACGCAUAACAGUAGGCCCAAGGACUUAGCGCCACAACGUCAGGUCAAGGUGCAGCUUAUGAGAUGGAAAGUAAUGGGCUACAAUUUCUAAAUUAGAACAAACGAAAAACUACAUGAAACAUAGACAUGAAGGUGGAUUUAGUAGUAAAUAAGGAAUAGAGAGCCUUAUUAAACUUGGCCCUGGGACGUGUACAAACCGCCCGUCACCCUCUUCAAUAGCCUUUAACAGCUUAAUAACCUAACCCUGCAAAUCAGAAGAGGCAAGUCGUAACACGGUAAGUGUACUGGAAAGUGCACUUGGCACAACAAAAUGUAGCUUACUAAAGCCCCUCGCUUACACCGAGAAAACAUCCGUGCAACCCAGAUCAUUUUGAGCCCUCAACCUAGCCUAAAAUAUACUUAUAGUAUAACUUUCAAUCUUCUUUUAAUUAAAACAUUUUAACUGUUUAGUAGAGGUGAUCAAAAACAUUUUGGCGCUUAAGAAAUAGUACCGUGAGGGAAAAGUGAAAUAUAAAUGAAAUAAACCCAAAGCCUUAAAUAGCAGAGAUUAUAACUCGUACCUUUUGCAUUAUGGUCUAGCUAGUCUAAUCAAGCAAAACGAAAAUUUUAGUUUGCCCCCCCGAAACUAAGCGAGCUACUUCAAAACAGCCUUAGAGCCAACCCAUCUCUGUAGCAAUAGAGUGGGAAGAUUUUCAAGUAGAAGUGAUAAACCUACCGAGCUUAGAGAUAGCUGGUUAUUCAGGAAAAGA
rnacentral:rRNA from 1 species